CUUUCCUCCCGUGGCCAAGCCAGGAAGAGGGUACAAUGAUUGAAAGUUUCUCUCCCUGUUGGAGGAACCCAUUUGCAUAGAGCUAGAGGAUUUUCCCUCAGGCAUCUUCCCUGCCCUGCCCUUAAGCUGUUUUUUUUUUUUUUCUUUUCCCCACACUGUCAGGAGUUACCUUUUAUGCAAGAGGUUUUUUUUUUUCCUUUGGAAGACAUCUUAUUAGGCCAGUACCCCAAUUCACAAGACAUCCUUUUCUCUCCCUUGUUUGAGGAGGACUCAGCUCCAUAGCUUUACCUUAGCAUGACUAAGUCCUGCUGAAUUUCAUGGAUAGAGGAGGUCAUGGUAGCAUUCAUGGAUAGAGGAUGCUCCCACUUCAUGGAUAGAGGUCAUGCUAGCAUUCAUGGCAUAGACAAGGUCUAGGGAACUCAAAGGCUACUGACAGCAUUGGGAAAAGGCCACAUGUGGAUAAGUGUGGAUAAUUCCCACCCCCUCGGCCCCCUGUUAAUGUGGGUGAAAACCUCUGUUUUCCUUAUGAAACCCCAGGAAUUGAAAGCAGAAAGAUCCCUCUCAAAACCUUUAGGGUUCCUAACCUGUGGUAAGUAAAGAAUGUUACUUUCUAAUAGGCCCAGGAGACCCAUGUUCUUGAGACCUCAAGAAAAGAGGAAUUUACUCAACUCAUAGGUAUUUGAGGCUACCAACCCAUGGCUGGCCUCAGCUGUAAAAGGUCUUAUCUGAGAUUCCGUGGGGAACAGGGUGUCAUUAAAGCCGAUUUAAAGGCCUGUGUGAAAAACAAUUACUCAUGCUGCACUUUACGCAAAUAAUCAGGCCAAGUAUAAGACUAAGGUUUAUUUUACAAGCAACUUAGUCCUAUCAUGAUUUGUUUUUGACAAAAAUGGGGACUAGAGAGAGAAAAAUUAUGUUUCAAUGCUUACCAUAUACUUGUUAUUAAAUUCUCGUCUCAUCUGUUGUUUUUAGGUUUUUGCCUACAUUCUAGACUAACCCUGUUUAUCCCCGUGAACCAACCAGUGAUCUCUGGCUGUAUCUCAGAAGAAACAGACAGAUGGGUAAUAUAAAGAUCUAGAUCAAUAGUCUAGUUCUGGACAAUUAUCCUGCAAAGCCUGCAAGGUGGUAAGAAUAAAUGGGGUGCCCAUAACCCAGAAGUUUCUUUGUUAUGGAAAAUAAGACCAAGGGAGCUAACCAGAGCCAAGCCCCAUGCCCCCACAUCUUGGCAGGCAUAACUAUAGCCACCAGUUUUCUGGGCAUUUCAGCAGCCUUGGGGUUUUUUUGAGCUGCCCUUACCCCCUUGUUUCAUUUUGAUGUGCAUCUUCUAAUAACCCUAAUUGUUUAUUCUUGCUUAGCGGCCAUUAAACUUCAAAUGGUGUUGCUAAUGGAACCAGAUCUGCCCUAGUACGUCACUGAAGAGAGACUAAAGAAAAAAUUGUCUAAUUUCAUAGGACAUUAUAG
rnacentral:lncRNA from 10 species